rnacentral:lncRNA from 1 species
GUUCGAUAAGCUUCUCGUUGUGUUUGAUGGGUUCAUUGCUUCGUGGUUCCUCAGAAGAUGUCUCUGUAUGUUUUCCCUUCACUUGCUCGCUGCUUUGAUUCUUUUCCUCCGAAUCUUUCUCGGCUUUUGGUUCUGGUUUCACUGUUUCCUUAGCAGGUUCAUUGGGAAGAGUUUCCCCUGAAGGUUUCUUAUCUUCUGAGUCUGGUUUGACUGUUUCCUCAUCAGGUUCAUUUUUAUGAGUUUCCUUUGAAGUUUUCUCAGCUUCUGAUUCCAGUUUCACUGUUUCCUUGGCUGGUUCACUUAUACCAGUUA